rnacentral:tRNA from 1 species
ACCCUCGCAGAGCAGCCAGGAGUGCUCGUCGCAUUGUCAAUGCGAAGAUCGUCGGUUCAAAUCCGAUCGAGGGUG